AGAAAGACAUCAGAGCACAAAGUAGAAGUGAGGAUCAGUAGAACUUAACACAGUGACAUAGACAGAGCAGAAGAAAAGAAGCAGAAGUGAAGUGAAGCUGAAUUUUAUCCAGGAUGAAGAUCCUCGUCAUCAUCCUCUACCUGAUCUCAGGUCCAGUAGACUGCUCUGAUGUGAUUGGUUACUCAGGUGGAAGUGUCAUUGUGUUCUCUGAUAUAAACAGGUACAAACACAAUAGUAAAUAUAUCUGCAAAGUGAAUGAAAAAGACUGCACUGAUAUAAUACGUGUUGACACCAAACGCCACAAAGUUCAAGAAGGAAGAUUCCUGUUGUAUUCAAACACAAACAACUUCUUCUUAGUAUUGAUCAUAAAGCUGAUGCCACAAGAUGCUGGAAUGUAUAGAUUUGGACUGGGGGAUCAGAGCAACUUGACCAUGAACCUAAACAUUUAUAAUUCUACAUCUUCUGGGUUGCCAACAAUAAUAAACGCUUAUCUUGGGCAGAAUAUUACCAUCACCUGUAACUAUCCAGGGGAGUAUGAGAGAAACACCAAAUUAGACAACACAGUGAAUGAUGACAUUAAAAUUAAUCGAAUUCUUAAUACUAACACAAAAUUUCAGAACGGCAGAUUCUCCAUUUCUGAUGACAGAAGUGCUAAAGUUUUCAGUGUGAACAUCAGCGACGUGAGAGAAACUGAUGAAGUAUUUUAUUUAUUUUGGGUGUAGAAUGGAGACGGAUCAGUCAGAUAUUGGACCUACUUUACAGAGGUGUGGCUACAUGUUACAGAUUAUACACUUUCAUUCAAGACUAAAGAGAACAAACAACUUAUGCCUGAUUAUAAUGCUUAUUCUGCAUCUGGGUAUGAAAACAUUAAAACUAGCUCAAUGUAAAACUGCUGAAGAGAAAGAAUCAGUCAGAACUUGCUUGAGCUGCUAAAGGAAAUUCUCCUUUACUGUAUUUACAAAUCUUUAUCAAUAAAAACACACUAACAA